rnacentral:rRNA from 1 species
UACGAAGGGGGUUAGCGUUGUUCGGAAUUACUGGGCGUAAAGCGCGCGUAGGCGGACCAGAAAGUUGGGGGUGAAAUCCCGGGGCUCAACCCCGGAACGGCCUCCAAAACUCCUGGUCUUGAGUUCGAGAGAGGUGAGUGGAAUUCCGAGUGGUAGAGGUGAAAUUCGUAGAUAUUCGGAGGAACACCAGUGGCGAAGGCGGCUCACUGGCUCGAUACUGACGCUGAGGUGCGAAANUGUGGGGAGCAAACAUU